rnacentral:rRNA from 1 species
GAUGAACGCUGGCGGCGUGCCUAAUACAUGCAAGUCGAGCGAACAGACGAGGAGCUUGCUCCUCUGACGUUAGCGGCGGACGGGUGAGUAACACGUGGAUAACCUACCUAUAAGACUGGGAUAACUUCGGGAAACCGGAGCUAAUACCGGAUAAUAUAUUGAACCGCAUGGUUCAAUAGUGAAAGACGGUUUUGCUGUCACUUAUAGAUGGAUCCGCGCCGCAUUAGCUAGUUGGUAAGGUAACGGCUUACCAAGGCAACGAUGCGUAGCCGACCUGAGAGGGUGAUCGGCCACACUGGAACUGAGACACGGUCCAGACUCCUACGGGAGGCAGCAGUAGGGAAUCUUCCGCAAUGGGCGAAAGCUUGACGGAGCAACGCCGCGUGAGUGAUGAAGGUCUUCGGAUCGUAAAACUCUGUUAUUAGGGAAGAAAAAAUGUGUAAGUAACUAUGCACGUCUUGACGGUACCUAAUCAGAAAGCAACGGCUAACUACGUG